rnacentral:hammerhead_ribozyme from 1 species
AUCCGGCUGACAAGUCUCAAAUAGGACGAAACAUGUGUCCUGGAU